rnacentral:rRNA from 1 species
UACGUAGGCAGCGAGCGUUGUUCGGAGUUACUGGGCGUAAAGGGCGCGUAGGCGGGCUGUCGCGUCUGGGGUGAAAUCCUCCGGCUCAACCGGGGAAGGGCCUCGGGUACGGACGGCCUCGAGGGGGGUAGGGGCGUGCGGAACUGUGGGUGGAGCGGUGAAAUGCGUUGAUAUCCACAGGAACUCCGGUGGCGAAGGCGGCACGCUGGACCCUCACUGACGCUGAGGCGCGAAAGCCAGGGGAGCGAACGGG